rnacentral:rRNA from 1 species
AACAAACGCUGGCGGCGUGCCUAAUACAUGCAAGUCGAACGGGGAAAGCUUUCGGGUGAGUACUAGUGGCGCACGGGUGAGGAACGCGUGGAUAAUCUGCCAUAGAGCGGGGGAUAACUAGUCGAAAGAUUAGCUAAUACCGCAUAAGACCACGAGAGCUGCGGCUUUUGAGGUCAAAGGUCUUUCGCUCUAAGAUGAGUCCGCGUAAGAUUAGCGAGUUGGUACGGUAACGUCGCACCAAGACGACGAUCUAUACCUCAUUUGAGCGGAUGAUCGGUCACACCGGCAAUGAGACGCGGUCCAGGCUCCUACGGGACGCAGCAGUAGAGCAUAUUGCACCAAGGCCGAAUCACUGAUGCAGCGCCGCCGCGUGAGUGAUGCAGGCAUUCGGGUCGUAAAGCUCUGUAACAGGGGAAUCACACAAUGACGGUACCCUGUAAGAAAGGCUCGGCUAACUUCGUG